rnacentral:lncRNA from 1 species
GUCACUUCUGUGAACAGAUUUCUUCCAGACUGAAAAAUGCCAACCAAAACUGUGAAUGCAUUUGGACCAGGUCACAUUGAAAAAAUAUAAAAGUAUGUUCAAUUAUGCAAUAUACAAUUUCCCUUUCUCCUUCUGUCCCAGGUGGGUGUUGUGUGACAGGAUGGAGUGUGCCUGGUUACCAUAGGAAUGCAACAUGCAAGGAAGAUUCUAAAUAGAAAGCAGUUAAUCUAACUAAGCAUCUUUUGGUGCCACUGCCUCAUUCUUUAAAUCCUUAACACCUAUAACAUUUAAAAGGCAGAUAUUUGGAAAUAAGCUUUACCCAGCAAAGUUACAGAACCCUGAGAAAACACCUGGAGGAAAGGCAAGUGUGUAAAUGUGCAGCUCAGGGGGGAUCAGUGUUUUUAUCUCUUACAAGAGACACACAAUUCCUGUCAGCUGCAGAGCUGAUGGGAUCUGAACAAGGCUUUUCAUGCCCGUUGCCUUCCACUCUUCAUCAGUUCUGCUCUGUCAUGGUUAAUGUUCUCCCUUGCAGCAACCUUAAUUGUUUUUUGAGGGUUAGAAGAGUGAUCAUAAUCGCUGCUGUUAUGGAUUUAAUUCUGAUCUGCAAAGAGACUGUGCUGUGAGCAAACGUUUUCAUUUUGAGCACUUAAAUCAAUGGUUUUCAAUUACAAAUAGAGAACACAGGAGCUGGAAAUGUUCCUUACCAGAGGGUAGAUCCUGCCCCUAUUUGUCACUCACAUUGCUUAUUUUUCAGGCAUUCACAGUUGAAAUUCUGAGCUCUGGAAAUAAAGGAUGUGGUAUCUUGUUGUGGUGUUGUGAGGGUCCUCAGGAUGAGCAGUGUGGAAUUGUUUUGUGCCUACAUCCUGGCAAUGCCAUGGGGGAACCUCCAGGGAAGCAGCUGCUGAUUAUGGCAAUGUAUCAGGGGAAAUCCCAUCCCUUGAAAGAACGCAUAGCCAGGAGCAUCACUUCAUUAAAACAACUCCACUUAAACUGAGCUUCUCGUUGCGAAAUUCAGAGUACUGAGACAAUACCAGCAGUAGAAAAAAGAAUGAAAACUCCCAGCUGAAAUAAUGCCCAGAAAUUGCAUUCACUCAGUGCCAAAGACCUGUGGAUGGCUGCAGUCUGACAAAGCUCUUCACUGAGCUAGUUCAGGUAAGCACACUUUACAUAUGAGUAAAUUUUGUGUCAUUUUUCUUGUAUUUCCUCCUAGGUAUUUGGGGUUACAGUGCAAAUAUUCUGUCUUAUCUGAGUAGCUGUUUACUUUAAAUUGUCUCAUGAAUUUAAUUAGGUACUUUUGAAUUUUGGUGCUGUUCACUGUCAGUGCAGCCAGUGAUGGGUGCCAGUAGUAAAUGCCUUAUUGUCUGUAUAUCACGUUACACUGACACUGCUGUCUACACAUCUGGUCACCAGUGUGACAGAGCUCUAUCUACUCUUGGAAUUUUGUAGUGAUAAUGGAAUGUUAAAGAGAAUAAAAUACAUGUGUGGGUUAGUAUUUAGGCA